GCCUUCUGUUUUUCGAACCGGUGACGAACGCGUGCACUUUUCCCCUAGUAGGACGUCGCGAUCCGUUGGGUGUCGGUCUACGGCUCGCGGUGGAGUCCGUGUGCGAUCGUUUCGGCGAUUCGUGCUCGAACCCGCGAUGUUCCGGCCGACUCGCUCGACGGUAUACAGAUGGCGCGAGGCCGCUACGUUAAUUAGCGUCCGACCCACGGCAAGCGCGUUCGAUGCUAAGACGGCGAUCGGACCUAGUGCCGAUUCCGUUUCCGGACGACUGUUGGCCGUGUGGAUCUCUCGGACAGACCUCGUUCGAAACGCUGAUCUGCGACGCUAUAGCUUUGGGUACUUUCAGGACCCGUCUUGAAACACGG
rnacentral:rRNA from 1 species